UGACAGACCUAAGUGUGACUGUGCAAUCAGU
rnacentral:piRNA from 1 species